UACGUAGGGUGCGAGCGUUGUCCGUCAUUAUUGGGCGUAAAGGUCUCGUCGGCGGUUUGUCGCGUCGGGAGUGAAAACCUCGGGCUUAACUCGGGGCUUGCUUUCGAUACGGCAGACUGGAGGUAUGCAGGGGAGAACGGAAUUCCUGGUGUAGCGGUGAAAUGCGCAGAUAUCAGGAAGAACACCGGUGGCGAAGGCGGCCUGCUGGGCAGUUUAGCUGACACUGAGGCGCGACAGCGUGGGGAGCAAACAGG
rnacentral:rRNA from 1 species